rnacentral:rRNA from 2 species
AGAGUUUGAUCAUGGCUCAGAUUGAACGCUGGCGGCAGGCCUAACACAUGCAAGUCGAACGGUAGCACAGAGAGCUUGCUCUCGGGUGACGAGUGGCGGACGGGUGAGUAAUGUCUGGGAAACUGCCUGAUGGAGGGGGAUAACUACUGGAAACGGUGGCUAAUACCGCAUAACGUCGCAAGACCAAAGAGGGGGACCUUCGGGCCUCUUGCCAUCAGAUGUGCCCAGAUGGGAUUAGCUUGUUGGUGAGGUAACGGCUCACCAAGGCGACGAUCCCUAGCUGGUCUGAGAGGAUGACCAGCCACACUGGAACUGAGACACGGUCCAGACUCCUACGGGAGGCAGCAGUGGGGAAUAUUGCACAAUGGGCGCAAGCCUGAUGCAGCCAUGCCGCGUGUAUGAAGAAGGCCUUCGGGUUGUAAAGUACUUUCAGCGGGGAGGAAGGUGUUGUGGUUAAUAACCGCAGCAAUUGACGUUACCCGCAGAAGAAGCACCGGCUAACUCCGUGCCAGCAGCCGCGGUAAUACGGAGGGUGCAAGCGUUAAUCGGAAUUACUGGGCGUAAAGCGCACGCAGGCGGUCUGUCAAGUCGGAUGUGAAAUCCCCGGGCUCAACCUGGGAACUGCAUUCGAAACUGGCAGGCUUGAGUCUUGUAGAGGGGGGUAGAAUUCCAGGUGUAGCGGUGAAAUGCGUAGAGAUCUGGAGGAAUACCGGUGGCGAAGGCGGCCCCCUGGACAAAGACUGACGCUCAGGUGCGAAAGCGUGGGGAGCAAACAGGAUUAGAUACCCUGGUAGUCCACGCCGUAAACGAUGUCUACUUGGAGGUUGUGCCCUUGAGGCGUGGCUUCCGGAGCUAACGCGUUAAGUAGACCGCCUGGGGAGUACGGCCGCAAGGUUAAAACUCAAAUGAAUUGACGGGGGCCCGCACAAGCGGUGGAGCAUGUGGUUUAAUUCGAUGCAACGCGAAGAACCUUACCUGGUCUUGACAUCCACAGAAGAAUCCAGAGAUGGAUUUGUGCCUUCGGGAACUGUGAGACAGGUGCUGCAUGGCUGUCGUCAGCUCGUGUUGUGAAAUGUUGGGUUAAGUCCCGCAACGAGCGCAACCCUUAUCCUUUGUUGCCAGCGGUCCGGCCGGGAACUCAAAGGAGACUGCCAGUGAUAAACUGGAGGAAGGUGGGGAUGACGUCAAGUCAUCAUGGCCCUUACGACCAGGGCUACACACGUGCUACAAUGGCGCAUACAAAGAGAAGCGACCUCGCGAGAGCAAGCGGACCUCAUAAAGUGCGUCGUAGUCCGGAUUGGAGUCUGCAACUCGACUCCAUGAAGUCGGAAUCGCUAGUAAUCGUGGAUCAGAAUGCCACGGUGAAUACGUUCCCGGGCCUUGUACACACCGCCCGUCACACCAUGGGAGUGGGUUGCAAAAGAAGUAGGUAGCUUAACCUUCGGGAGGGCGCUUACCACUUUGUGAUUCAUGACUGGGGUGAAGUCGUAACAAGGUAACCGUAGGGGAACCUGCGGUUGGAUCACCU